rnacentral:lncRNA from 1 species
CCAGUGAACAGAAGAACAGAAAUCAGAAUUCUGACAACAUAACAGAAGGCAGAAGUCCUUGUGAGUCAUUCUCGGAGACCAUAGGGCAGAACGCAAAGAACAUAACAUAGGAGUCAAAUGGAGCCGAACACUUCAGUCACUCACGUGAUGGCUGUGUGUCCUUGGGCUCUACAAGAAGCAUGGUAUCAGCAUCUGCUUCUGAUGAUGCCUCAGGCUGCUUCCACUCAAGUUGGAAGGAAAAAGGGAGGCUGCAUGUGCAGAGAUCACACGGAGGAGGAGGAAGCAAAAGAGAACUUUCUAGCUCGAAAUCACGUAUGGAAGCUGAGUCACCUCCGUUUCUCCUGGAGCCCGAGCUGGCUGUCACCGAGACCUUGCUCAUUAUGCAGACUCAUUCACAUGCAUACCCAAAGCAACACUUGACGGUUGUGGAAGAUUUCCAUCCUCACAGGUCAUGAAAUGCGUCUCCACUGGAAUACUGGUUGUUUAUCACCUACACUAACGAUUUACAAUGGCCUAAGUGUUGUAUUCCUAGUGACUGUAGUCUGAAUCAAAAACUCCUGCCCUGAAGCAAGGACAACUUCUUUAUUCACAUGGAGAAUGAUAGCAGGGAAAAGGCAAAAAUUUAACAAUAACGAAGAAAAAUCCCUCUUUUUCUAUGUGCAGAAUAAAAAUCUUAUUAAAAUAAGA